CUGACGAUACCAACCUAAAUUUUAGUAGUGAUAAUUUAUCUCACCUUGAAUUUCUGAUGAAUUCUAGUCUGAUUAACCUAAACAGAUGGUUAAUAGCCAACAAAUUAAGCUUGAAUAUUGCUAAAACUGAGUUCAUGAUCAUUGGUUCACGUCAGCGUUUAGCAACUUUUAAUAAUUACGAGCCAAGUGUCUCGGUCGACAAUGUGCCAGUGAGGCAAGUUAGUUCAACUAAAACCCUAGGGCUAACCUUGGAUGAAAACCUUACUUGGAGAAACCAUGUUGAGGUCAUCACUAAAAAGAUCUCUUCUGGUAUUGGAGCUUUAAAGCGGGUGCGCGGGCUGAUUGACCAAGAAACUGCUAUUAAAGCCUAUAAAGGUUUUAUUGAACCAUACUUUUCCUAUUGUGCUCCAGUAUGGGACGGCCUCGGAGUAACUCUAA